GGGGAUUUAGCUCAGUGGUAGAGCACUUGCCUAGCAAACAAGGCACUGGAUUCGGUCCUCCUAAGCUCCG
rnacentral:tRNA from 1 species